UCUUUACAGCUUUUAUAGAGUCAAUUCUGAGGGCCAUCAGUGUCUAAUGUGCACAUCUAGACCUGCUAUCUACAACCUCAAUCUGUGAUAUGAUUUCAAAAGAAGAGCGAGCAAUCUACAACCUCAACAUGGAGGGAGAAUUUCAUAUCAAUCAUAUAUCAUCUAGUGAUGAUAUCCAUGUUCAAUCGAUCGUAAUAUCAAC
rnacentral:lncRNA from 1 species